rnacentral:misc_RNA from 1 species
CCGAGUUUACAACUCCCAAACCCCUGUGAACAUACCUAUAUGUUGCCUCGGCGGAUCAGCCCACGCCCCGUAAAACGGGACGGCCCGCCGCAGGAUCCACAAACUCUGUUUUUAUUGUAACUUCUGAGUAACAAAACAAAUAAAUCA